rnacentral:rRNA from 1 species
GACGAACGCUGGCGGCGUACUUAACACAUGCAAGUCGAACGAUGAAAGUGGAGCUUGCUCCGCUGGAUUAGUGGCGAACGGGUGAGUAACACGUGGGCAACCUGCCCCAGACUCUGGGAUAAUUCCUCGAAAGAGGUGCUAAUACCGGAUACGAACUCCUUGGGCAUCCUUGGAGUUGGAAAGUUUUUCGGUCUGGGAUGGGCCCGCGGCCUAUCAGCUUGUUGGUGGGGUAGUGGCCCACCAAGGCGACGACGGGUAGCCGGCCUGAGAGGGCGACCGGCCACACUGGGACUGAGACACGGCCCAGACUCCUACGGGAGGCAGCAGUGGGGAAUAUUGCGCAAUGGGCGAAAGCCUGACGCAGCGACGCCGCGUGAGGGAUGACGGCCUUCGGGUUGUAAACCUCUUUCAGCAGGGAAGAAGCGAAAGUGACGGUACCUGCAGAAGAAGCACCGGCUAACUACGUGCCAGCCGCCGCAGUAA